UGUGUGACUGCUGGAGCAGGAAGCCUGAAACUCAUCUUUGGAAAGGGAACCAAAGUGAUUGUGGAGGCCAAGGACUGGGAGAAGCACCAGCCAUCCUACCACAGACUGGAAGAUGUAGAUGGGAUGACGACGUGCCUGGCCACUGGUUUUGGCAGACACAACAUGACACAUACGUGCUUUAACAGCACCAGCACAAAGGGACCGGCCGUUCAAAUAUCUGGUAGCCCUCUGUACAACCAGGUGGCCUUUUUCUCAAGUGCAAGUGACCAGUGUGACAAAGCGUCAGAGUCUGAAGAAACUCAGUGCGAGGACCCUCUGGAGCCAGAUCCGAAGGUGAACCUCAUGUCUCUGACCAUCCUGGGCCUCAGGCUGCUCUUCCUCAAGACCAUUGUCUUCAACGUCCUGAUGACCCUGCGGCUGUGGUUCAGUCAAUGAGCUCGACAGACCUGCUCCAGAAAAACAGACGACAAAUUCACAAACAACAUCCUGAUCGAAUCCGUGAAGCACGGAGUCGAUGCUCGGCUUCUUUUCUGCUGUCAUCGCCUGCGUCUGUGUCAUGUACCAUAACAUGUAUGAAUAUCAUCAUAUUAAUAUGAUCCUGCUGUGGACAAACACGCUAGCUUGUAAUACAAAGUCUUAUUGUGCUGUAUUUCUUCAUAGUGUUUGAUUUUUUUUUUUUUAUGAGUGAAUUUUACUCUGUUCUUCUGAUGUAAAUAUCACAGUUCCAUUUAACAACA